UAAACUAAAGUGCUGCCUGCGGACUGGUGGCUAAUACCGCAUAACGUCGCAAGACCAAAGAGGGGGACCUUCGGGCCUCUUGCCAUCAGAUGUGCCCAGAUGGGAUUAGCUUGUUGGUGAGGUAACGGCUCACCAAGGCGACGAUCCCUAGCUGGUCUGAGAGGAUGACCAGCCACACUGGAACUGAGACACGGUCCAGACUCCUACGGGAGGCAGCAGUGGGGAAUAUUGCACAAUGGGCGCAAGCCUGAUGCAGCCAUGCCGCGUGUAUGAAGAAGGCCUUCGGGUUGUAAAGUACUUUCAGCGGGGAGGAAGGUGUUGUGGUUAAUAACCGCAGCAAUUGACGUUACCCGCAGAAGAAGCACCGGCUAACUCCGUGCCAGCAGCCGCGGUAAUACGGAGGGUGCAAGCGUUAAUCGGAAUUACUGGGCGUAAAGCGCACGCAGGCGGUCUGUCAAGUCGGAUGUGAAAUCCCCGGGCUCAACCUGGGAACUGCAUUCGAAACUGGAAA
rnacentral:rRNA from 1 species